UUGUACCUAUAAAAUUUGUAUUCCUUAAAAAAUUAAUUAACAACAAAAAAAUAAAGAAAUUCAACAAAUUAAAAAAAAAAACUGCAGUAAUCCUGCAGUAGAGACAGACAAGUGGAUCAGCUGGACCCCAGCAAAUGCAGCGUGCUGUGAGGACCUGCCUCCGCCCUGUCCCCAGCCAGCUCUGCCACAGAGCGUGGGCAGCUGAGUGGCUGAGCAGCUGAGCGCCUGCCCUGCCCGCCGGGGAAUCAGGGCUGUUGUUGGGAGCCGCCUUCAUCAGCCCUACUCCCUCACUCUCGAACCUUCUCUGCAUUCAAGCGGGGGCUGGGGCACUCUCAGCUGAGUCCCUCCAACCCCAACGUGGGUCAUUGGUGAUCACUAUUAUUAAGUGCCCGUCCCAGAACUCUAGGCACUCCUGGGAGUGGUUACCAAGUGGUUUCCAGGGCUUGAGCGAAAGCCUCAAAAACUCAAGGCCAAGGGCAGAAGGAACACUUGGGCGCCAUGGGGCAGGGCUGGCACCGGCAGCCCGCGGAUUCCCUGACGCCCAGCUUCCCCUACCCCCGUGCCGGCCUGGGGCCACCCCAGUAUCCCACCAAGGCCUUCUCGCUCGCUCUCACUCCACUGCAACCCCCUUCUCUCCUCCGCACCCACUCCCAACCUCCAGACCCAGCCUCCCUUUAAAUCUACCCCAACGAGAUGUCCCUUGCUCCCGGUGUCGCGCAGUGGAGGGAGCUGUGCUGCUGUGACGAAGAAAUAAACUGUGCCAGUCCGAGGGAGGGCCAGGGAAGGAGACACUGGCCCUGGCCCGAGACAGAGGACCCUUGGUGGCCCUGCUGGGGCAGACUGCUCAUCCCGUAUCAUCAUUUUGAACAGUCUAGCAUGGUAUCAGGAGGAGCCAGUGGGGCUCGGCGGUCAUGCCAACAACCACCGCUCACACCUUGCAGCCAUCCAGAGCCAAGAGGAGGGAAGGAAGGCAGCGAUGACACAGCUGUCACUCAGGGGGCAGGUGCUGCGGAAGGCAAAGACCUGUGAGUAUGGGGAUUCAGGCAGGGCGCUGAGGUCAGAGCCCCUACAUGUCAGGUAGGUGGGAGGGGACAGAAACCCCAAAGACCCACAAAGCCCAGUUCUUCUAACACCCCCUCCCAGCACCUGCUUGCUAAACUGAGAACCAGGGGCCGAGUUUCUUUGUUUCUCUGUAUGCUCAGCCCAGCUAGCUCCCUCCCGAGCAGCCGACUGAAUAUUGCAAUCAGGGUGGGCCUUCUGGCCAGUGUUUCUUUGUACCUGGGGGUCAAACCGAAGCCUCAGAGCGCAGCCCAACCUACAGCAUGCCCUGUGCCAAGGUGCCAGCAACGAGAACUCAAAUCCUGUGUUUAACAGGUGCAUCAUUCAUACUUUAGUAGAUGGUGUGGAUCGAUCGGAGCAGACGGGCUCAGGGGAGGCUCAGCCUGGGCAGAAGAACCAGCCUGGGAUGCAUGAGAAUCCCACAAAGUAGGUGAGAACGGAGUUGUGUCCAAAGGGCUGAAGAUCCUGGCUCUUCAGAGACUGUGGAGGAGGAGUGAGGAGAAGAGCAGACUCUACGACCAAAAUUUCAUGACAUUUCCUGAUCACACGGAAGCGUCGCGAUGAAUGGUGGUCUUUCUGUCCUUGUGACAACCUGAGGCAGUCGUGCCGUCGCUGGAGGCAGCGAGGGAGAGGCCAUAGCGCCCUGUGAAGUCAGCUGGCUGAUGCUUUCCAUCAGCGUCCCAUCCCCAAAGUAAAGGAUUCCAGACAUUCUCCCCCAUUGUCCACAACGGGGACGGUGACCCUGAUGGCGACGGGAGUUUGACAUCAGCGGAGCCCUCUUCAAGGGAUGAGAGGUGCUGUUUCUGGUGUAUGGGGGGGGGGGGGGCGAGCCGGGACUUGGUCUGGCC